rnacentral:rRNA from 1 species
GACGAACGCUGGCGGCGUGCCUAAUACAUGCAAGUUGAGCGCUGAAGGUUGGUACUUGUACCAACUGGAUGAGCAGCGAACGGGUGAGUAACGCGUGGGGAAUCUGCCUUUGAGCGGGGGACAACAUUUGGAAACGAAUGCUAAUACCGCAUAAAAACUUUAAACACAAGUUUUAAGUUUGAAAGAUGCAAUUGCAUCACUCAAAGAUGAUCCCGCGUUGUAUUAGCUAGUUGGUGAGGUAAAGGCUCACCAAGGCGAUGAUACAUAGCCGACCUGAGAGGGUGGUCGGCCACAUUGGGACUGGGACACGGCCCAAACUCCUACGGGAGGCAGCAGUAGGGAAACUUCGGCAAUGGACGAAAGUCUGACCGAGCAACGCCGCGUGAGGGAAGAAGGGUUUCGGAUCGUAAAACUCUGUUGGUAGAGAAGAACGUUGGUGAGAGUGGAAAGCUCAUCAAGUGACGGUAACUACCCAGAAAGGGACGGCUAACUACGUG